rnacentral:lncRNA from 1 species
UCUCUAGGAGCUUAUCCUUCGGAUUUGCAGUACGUCCUUAACUUUUCCUUGGGGAAUGUAUAGGAAAAAGAAAGAAAAUCAGGAACGGAAACAGGAAUUCAAAUACCACUUAUCCCACGAGGGAGCCGAGACCCAAACUGCGAGCCUCUCUUUGAGCAGCCAGGAGCCAGGCUUCCUGGGGUGGGGAACUCAGGGCUCGCUUCUCAGGUCUAGUUCCUCAGGCUUGGGCUCCACUCUGGCUGCGAAGGCCCCAGACCACCUCACCCCACCCUGAGAACGACCUCUUGCUCAGCCACAUGAAGGAAGGUAAACAACUUGGAAGCUUCAGGAAGUACCUGAAACUGACCAGAUUCACUGGGCCCCUCCCUGCCAGACUAAACAAUGAAAUCUGAGAAUCCUGCUCAGAAUAUCAAAACCAAACUGCAAAGAAGAUUCUCAGAGAAGCUAAGUGGUGAAAAUGACUCAUACUGAACUAACUGCCUGGAAGAAGCAGAAACCAGUUGAGCUGCCUGAAGAAGUUUAGACCAACUGAGGCACCUGGAAAGAACAAUCUCCAACCUGCUGAGCUGCCUGCAAGCUGUGCAGUGAGCUCCAAGUUCCCAGCUUGGUGAGCUGUCACCCAUGCUGGUGUGGGCCUUGUUAAGUCAG